UCCCGGUUGAUCCUGCCGGAAAUUACUGCUAUCGAGGUUCGACUAAGCCAUGCGGGUCGAAUGUAGCAAUACAUGGCGAACUGCUCAGUAACACGUGGACAACCUGCCCUUAGGUUGGGUAUAAACCCGGGAAACUGGGUAUAAUACCCGAUAGGUCUCGAUUGCUGGAAUGCAUCGAGAUUUAAAGCUCCGGCGCCUAAGGAUGGGUCUGCGGCCUAUCAGGUAGUAGUGGGUGUAGCGUACCUACUAGCCUACGACGGGUACGGGUUGUGAGAGCAAGAGCCCGGAGAUGGAUUCUGAGACACGAAUCCAGGCCCUACGGGGUGCAGCAGGCGCGAAAACUUUGCAAUGCUGGCAACAGCGAUAAGGGAACCUCGAGUGCCAGGUUACAAAUCUGGCUGUCGAGAUGCCUAAAAAGCAUUUCAUAGCAAGGGCCGGGCAAGACCGGUGCCAGCCGCCGCGGUAACACCGGCGGCUCGAGUGGUAACCGUUAUUAUUGGGUCUAAAGGGUCUGUAGCCGGCCGGAUAAGUCUCUUGAGAAAUCUGGCAGCUUAACUGUCAGGCUUUCAGGAGAUACUGUCUGGCUCGAGGCCGGGAGAGGUGGGAGGUACUUCAGGGGUAGGGGUGAAAUCUUGUAAUCCUUGAAGGACCACCAGUGGCGAAGGCGUCUCACCAGAACGGACCUGACGGCAAGGGACGAAAGCUAGGGGCACGAACCGGAUUAGAUACCCGGGUAGUCCUGGCCGUAAACGAUACUCGCUAGGUGUCGGCCACGGUGCGACCGUUGUCGGUGCCGUAGGGAAGCCGUGGAGCGAGCCACCUGGGAAGUACGGCCGCAAGGCUGAAACUUAAAGGAAUUGGCGGGGGAGCACCACAACGGGUGGAGCUUGCGGUUUAAUUGGAUUCAACGCCGGG
rnacentral:rRNA from 1 species